rnacentral:lncRNA from 1 species
UAUCCAUUUAAUAUACCUUGUAAAUCUCAAUACCAGGUCAAACUUGAAACGCACCCAAUUUCGGCCCCAAAGACAUCAGAACGAUUUUACACGAGGUACAUCAGUUCGUAAUGGCGUAUGCUGGUGUUCGAUGUUUAUGCUCAUGAUGCUUUUGCUUUUUAUUUCAGCGUUUGAAGACGAAAUUCGAGGCGUGAUUGGCUCAGAACAGCGAAGCUCAUUGCCAAGAUUCAAAUUAUGAACAGUUUGACAAGCAUUGUUUGUAUUGUAUUGUAGUGUAUUGGUAGGGGUUUGAAUUUGAGAUUUCAGCAAAUUUCAAAUUAGAAGUGAUGUAGGAGUUGUGUCAUUGCAGUGCAAUUAUGAAAUUCUUCCAAAUGCCAUGUUGGAGGGAUUGGAAAGCCAUAUUGAAGUAUCAUUGGCGACAUUGGCUAGCCAGUUCACAUACCUACCAGAGUUGUUUGAUAUUUGAUAAAUAUUUGGUUGGUAGGUACCUUUUCAUUUGAAUUAAAGCUGGAACUGGAACGUAACAGUGAAGAAAAGGAUGCUGAUUACUUGAUGUAUUGAAAAUACCAACUGGGCCCUGUUCAUGUUUCAACGUUCUGCUUCUGACACUGCGCACGCUGCAGCGUGCUGGGAGCUAUAGCAUACCAGCAGCGCGUUGGGUGUUCAUGGAAACAUUACAAACUCGGAUGCCUCAAUGCUGAAGCUUUGAGCCGAAUUCGUCUUGAACGCUGCACCAGCGCUCUGCAGUGCACGCACCAUCCAGACCGUGAAACAGGGCUCUGGUCGUAGAUGUUGAUUUCUUUGUAACUGGUAACGGAAGCAUCAAGCAUGAUGAGCAGCACCAUGAAGAGUGAGUUGCUGCCGCUGGUAUUGAAAUAUAAGUAACUUUUUGUCUUUUAGCAGAGCUAGACAUUAAAUUUGGUAUCCUUUUACAAACUUACUAUUAUGGAUGUCAAGAUGUUGCUAACAGUGGUGCUGGCACCACCAACACCAGUCUAUCUCUUUAUGCUGGUGUUUCAUCCCUUUGCACUGCAGAUGGUUGACAAAGCACAAAGCAAAGCAAGCACAAAGCAUUCACUCAGUUCCUAAUCUCGGUCUCCGCUGCUCUCACCUGUGUCAGCUGUCUUGUCUACCCCUGUACUCCUGAGUCCUUACUCCCUCUCUCUUUCGCUUUACCCAGGUUUUGUCAAUGUUCUGCAUGUACAGUUGCUGCUUUUUGGUGCGCCCAGGCUGUUCAUCCAAUUAAUGCCUGAAGAGUUGCUGAAAGUGCCUCCCGCCAGACUUGCUGAAUGGCUAUUACCUGCAUCUGCUAUCUGGACUGAAGCUUCCCCAACUAGCUGACAUGGGUCUCGGCAGCUGGGCUUAAUAGGUCACAGGUCAAAGUUCAUUCGGGGCAGGUUCAUAAAAUGUUAAGGACAUGUGUAAAAUUGAUCAACUCGAGGGUACUGAAAGUUUCGUCGCAAUCGGCCUCUUUUUUUACGAGAGCUAUCGGCGAAAAACCGAGAAGGGGUCCGUUCGACCCCCCCCCCCCAUACGGGUGAGGGUUAAGCUACAUUCGGAAAUUCAAACUACAUCUAGCUAAGCACAUCAGCCCAUCAUGGGCGUUUGACUAGUAAAAUAUAGACGUUUCAGCCUUAUGUUACGUUGAAUAAGCCUAAUUUAAUUAUAGAAGGUCGUCAUUAUGUGCCUGCUGCGGCUUUUGUCGUCUUCAUUGUGUGCUUUGUGGUUUUUUAGUUUUGAUCAUAUCAUCCUCCACCAGGCUUGUUUCUGACGGUGGUUCUGAAGACAGCGGGUCGAUCCAGCUGUAGGACGUCAUCUGGAGGUGGAAGAGUGUGAUGGCCAGCCACGCGGCGCGCGUAUCGACAUUGACCAGAAACCAUCACAUCAUCUCCAGGUCACUGGUCGCGGGCGCUCGAGCUGACGGUGUCUUCCAACGGCUCCACGGUGACCAGCGCCGCCACCGCCGAGACCAUCCGACUCCUGAAAUGAUAAUGGCCGUACACGAACAAGAGGCUCUAAGCAUCCAGGUGCAAGCAAGCGCCAUGCUCAGAGGCGUCAUCCGAAGAAGGUCGCACAGGGCACUUAAGGCUGAGCUCGGGUGUAGUGCGCGCUGACGGAUAGGAUGAAAUGACGGCCAUCAUCUUUCAGUGCGGAGAUCAAGAUGGUCGGAGCCGACGUGGCUCCGUUGAUGGUUGCUGGGGUUGAUUGAGAGUGGAGGCGAGACACCCGGAUCUGUGAAGGAUACGUCGAUACAGGUCUCGACGUCGUCUCGCAAUUUGUGCUAUGUAAUAUGACGGCUAUGCCGUGGUCUCAUUCACUCUCGAUACGCUGAUAAAUCAUAAAUAGGACAGAGGCUGGAAUAAAGAUGAUUAUAUUCCAUAU